rnacentral:rRNA from 1 species
UACGUAGGUGGUAAGCGUUGUCCGGAUUUACUGGGCGUAAAGAGCGCGCAGGCGGUCGAAUAAGUCGAAUGUGAAAGCCCCCGGCUUAACUGGGGAGGGUCAUUCGAUACUGUUCGACUUGAAGGCAGGAGAGGGCAGCAGAAUUCCCGGUGUAGUGGUGAAAUGCGUAGAUAUCGGGAGGAAUACCAGUGGCGAAGGCGGCUGCCUGGCCUGUUCUUGACGCUGAGGCGCGAAAGCUGGGGGAGCAAACGGG